rnacentral:rRNA from 1 species
UGAGCAAUCUGCCCUUCUCAUCGGAAUAAAGCGUUGGAAACGACGUCUAAUGCCGAAUACGACCUCCUUUCGCAUGAUCGGAGGUGGAAAGCUCCGGCGGAGAAGGAUGAGCUCGCGGCCUAUCAGCUAGUUGGUGUGGGUAACGGCCCACCAAGGCGACGACGGGUAGCCGGCCUGAGAGGGUGACCGGCCACACUGGGACUGAGACACGGCCCAGACUCCUACGGGAGGCAAAC